AGCUCCAAUAGCGUAUAUUAAAGUUGUUGCGGUUAAAAAGCUCGUAGUUGGAUCUACGAUCAAGUCAUGUGGUCGCUCUGCCUGAGUGUACUGCACUGACUGAUCCAUAUAUCCAGUAUUCGAUUGAUGCUCUUCAUUGAGUGUCUCUAGUUGCUGGAACUUUUACCUUGAAAAAAUUAGAGUGUUCAAAGCAGGCUGGUCGCCUGUAUAGUGUUGCAUGGAAUAAUGGAAUAGGACCUCGGUUCUAUUUUGUUGGUUUUCGGAGCGCGAGGUAAUGAUUAAGAGGGACAGACGGGGGCGUCCGUACUCUGCCGUUAGAGGUGAAAUUCUUGGAUCGGCGGAAGACGAACUACUGCGAAAGCAUUCGCCAAGAAUGUUUUCUUUAAUCAAGAACGAAAGU
rnacentral:rRNA from 1 species